rnacentral:rRNA from 1 species
GAUCUCGUACUUUUUGUAGAACGGACCGGCGAGUUACGUUAUGCAGCGAGGUUAAGAACUGAAGGUUUGGAGCCGAAGCGAAAGCGAGUCUGAAAAGGGCGAAGAGUUGCAUGACGUAGACCCGAAACCGGGUGACCUAUCCAUGGGCAGGUUGAAGUGGAAGUAAAAUUUCAUGGAGGACCGAACCAGACGUCUGUUGAAAAAGGCGGGGAUGACCUGUGGAUAGCGGAGAAAUUCCAAUCGAACCCGGAGAUAGCUGGUUCUCCUCGAAAUAGCUUUAGGGCUAGCCUCAUAUUAGUUUGCCGGAGGUAGAGCACUGAAUGGUCUAGGGGGCCUCACCGCCUACCGAAACCUAUCAAACUGCGAAUGCCGGAUAAAUGAUGUGCGGGAGUCAGGCCGCGAGAGAUAAGUUCCGCGGUCAAAAGGGGAACACCCCAGAUCGUCUGCUAAGGUCCCCAAGUACGCGUUAAGUGGGAAAGGAUGUUGGAUUGCACAGACAACCAGGAUGUUGGCUUAGAAGCAGCCACACAUUCAAAGAGUGCGUAAUAGCUCACUGGUCGAGUGAUCCAGCGCCGAAAAUGUAACGGGGCUAAAACGCGACACCGAAGCAGCGGGAUGCGUAAGCAUCGGUAGAGGAGCAUUGUGUGAGGAUAGAAGCCAGAGCGGGAGCACUGGUGGACUUCACAGAAGAGAGAAUGCCGGUAUGAGUAGCGAGACCCAUGCGAGAAACAUGGGCGUCGAAGGCCCAAGGUUUCCUGGGGAAGGUUCAUCCACCCAGGGUAAGUCGGGACCUAAGCCGAGGACUGAGGUCGUAGGCGAUGGACAGCAGGUAGAGAUUCCUGCACCACUUACACUUGUUUGACGAAGCAGUGACACAGAAGGAUAGGACGAGCGCGGUGAUGGUCAACCGCGUAGGCGGCACGAGGCUGGGGAGCAGUAAAGUACACUUCCCGUGAAGGCUGAGUGCUGACAGGACCGAAAAAGAGUAGGGAAGCGUCUGAGUUCACGCUGGCGAGAAAAGCUGCUAAGGAGAGUGUGAGUGCCCGUACCGGAAACCGACGCAGGUGGGCGAGGAGAGAAUCCUGAGACGGACGGGAGAACUCUUGUUAAGGAACUCGGCAAAAUGACCCCGUAACUUCGGGAGAAGGGGUGCCUCGAAAGAGGCCGCAGAGAAUAGUCACAAGCGACUGUUUAGCAAAAACACAGGUAUCUGCGAAAGCGAGAGCUGACGUAUAGGUGCUGACGCCUGCCCGGUGCUGGAAGGUUAAGGGGAAGUGUUAGGGGAAACCCGAAGCAGAGAACCGAAGCCCCAGUAAACGGCGGCCGUAACUAUAACGGUCCUAAGGUAGCGAAAUUCCUUGUCGGGUAAGUUCCGACCCGCACGAAUGGCGUAACGACUUGUGAGCUGUCUCAACAGGAGGCCCGGUGAAAUUGAAGUAUGUGUGAAGAUGCACAUUACCCGCGACUGGACGGAAAGACCCCGUAGAGCUUUACUGUAACCUGACAUUGGAUCUUGAUAACGGAUGCACAGGAUAGGUGGGACGCUGGGAGGUAUGGACUUUGGUCUGUACGGAGCGGACGUUGGGAUACCACUCUUCUGUUAUUGAGAUUCUAACCUCAAGCCGUAAGCCGGAUGAGAGACAGUGUCAGGCGGACAGUUUGACUGGGGCGGUCGCCUCCGAAAGAGUAACGGAGGCGCCCAAAGGUACCCUCAGAAUGGAUGGAAACCAUUCGAAGAGAGCAAAGUCAGAAGGGUGCUUGACUGCGAGACCAACAAGUCGAGCAGGUACGAAAGUAGGGCUUAGUGAUCCGGCGGUAAGAGAGUGGAAUUGCCGUCGCUCAACGGAUAAAAGCUACCUCGGGGAUAACAGGCUGAUCUCCCCCAAGAGUUCACAUCGACGGGGAGGUUUGGCACCUCGAUGUCGGCUCGUCGCAUCCUGGGGCUGAAGCAGGUCCCAAGGGUUUGGCUGUUCGCCAAUUAAAGCGGCACGCGAGCUGGGUUCAGAACGUCGUGAGACAGUUCGGUCCCUAUCCAUCGUGGGCGAAGGACACAUGAGAGGAGCUGCUCCUAGUACGAGAGGACCGGAGUGGACGCAUCACUGGUGCAACUGUUGUCGUGCCAACGGCACAGCAGGGAAGCGAAAUGCGGAUGGGAUAAACGCUGAAGGCAUCUAAGCGUGAAGCCCACCUCAAGAAUAAGUGUCCCAUUCGAAAGAAGUAAGACCCCUGGAAGACUACCAGGUGAUAGGUCAUCGGUGAAAGAGCGGUAACGUUUGGAGCUUGAUGAUACUAAUCGGUCGAGGACUUGAUCUA